rnacentral:rRNA from 1 species
CAGACCUCUGAUCAGGGAAGACUACCCGCUGAGUUUAAGCAUAUCACUAAGCGGAG